rnacentral:rRNA from 4 species
GAUAGCCGACGAGAGUACACAUUGUCUCGGCUGUUUGGCACCU